AGAACGAACGCUGGCGGCAGGCUUAACACAUGCAAGUCGAGCGCCCCGCAAGGGGAGCGGCAGACGGGUGAGUAACGCGUGGGAAUCUACCCAAUUCUACGGAAUAGCUUCGGGAAACUGGAAUUAAUACCGUAUACGCCCUACGGGGGAAGAUUUAUCGGAGUUGGAUGAGCCCGCGUUGGAUUAGCUAGUUGGUGGGGUAAUGGCCUACCAAGGCGACGAUCCAUAGCUGGUCUGAGAGGAUGAUCAGCCACACUGGGACUGAGACACGGCCCAGACUCCUACGGGAGGCAGCAGUGGGGAAUAUUGGACAAUGGGCGAAAGCCUGAUCCAGCCAUGCCGCGUGAGUGAUGAAGGCCUUAGGGUUGUAAAGCUUCUUUCAGUGGGGAAGAUAAUGACGGUACCCACAGAAGAACGCCCCGGACUAACUUCGUGCCAGCAGCCGC
rnacentral:rRNA from 1 species